rnacentral:rRNA from 1 species
AACGCGAAGAACCUUACCUAGCCUUGACAUGCACUGGACCGACUCUGAAAGGAGUCCUUCCCGCAAGGGACAGUAGUAGAGGUGCUGCAUGGCUGUCGUCAGCUCGUGCCGUGAGGUGUUGGGUUAAGUCCCGCAACGAGCGCAACCCUUACUCGUAGUUGCUACCCGCAAGGGAGAACUCUACGAGGACUGCUCCGGAUAACGGAGAGGAAGGUGGGGAUGACGUCAAGUCAGCACGGCCUUUAUGUCCAGGGCUACACACGUGUUACAAUGCAUGGUACAGACUGUUGCGAACCCGCGAGGGGGAGCUAAUCGGCCAAAGCCAUGCUCAGUUCGGAUUGCAGUCUGCAACUCGACUGCAUGAAGCUGGAAUCGCUAGUAAUGGCGCAUCAGAUCGGCGCCGUGAAUACGUUCCCGGGCCUUGUACACACCGCUAGUC